ACAGGGAGGUAGUGACAAGAAAUAACAAUACAGGACUUUUUGGUUUUGUAAUUGGAAUGAGUUAAGUAUAAACCCCUUUACAAAUAUCAAUUGGAGGGCAAGUCUGGUGCCAGCAGCCGCGGUAAUUCCAGCUCCAAUAGCGUAUAUUAAAGUUGUUGCAGUUAAAAAGCUCGUAGUUGGAUUUCUGUUAAUAAUCUAUAUAAAAUAUUUUGAUGAAUAUUUAUAUAAUAUUAACAUAAUUCAUAUUACUAUAUAUUUUAGUAUAUGAAAUUUUACUUUGAGAAAAUUAGAGUGCUUAAAGCAGGCAUAUGCCUUGAAUACUCCAGCAUGGAAUAAUAUUAAAGAUUUUUAUCUUUCUUAUUGGUUCUAAGAUAAGAAUAAUGAUUAAUAGGGACAGUUGGGGGCAUUUGUAUUUAACAGUCAGAGGUGAAAUUCUUAGAUUUGUUAAAGACAAACUAAUGCGAAAGCAUUUGCCAAGGAUGUUUUCAUUAAUCAAGAACGAAAGUUAGGGGAUCGAAGACGAUCAGAUACCGUCGUAGUCUUAACCAUAAACUAUGCCAACUAGAGAUUGGAGGUUGUUCCUUACUCCUU
rnacentral:rRNA from 1 species